GUGCGGUUGGCACAGUGGUCAGCGCGUUCGCUUCCUACGCGAAAGAUCCCGGGUUCGAAUUCCGGACCGCACA
rnacentral:tRNA from 2 species